rnacentral:rRNA from 1 species
UGCCCGGGGGUCGGGGAUAGCUACGGGAAACUGUAGGUAAUACCCGAUAAUGUUUACGGACCAAAGGUUUACUGCCCCUGGAUGAGCCCAUGCCCCAUUAGCUUGUUGGCGGUGUAAUAGACCACCAAGGCGAUGAUGGGUAGCUGGUGUGAGAGCACGACCAGCCUCACUGGCACUGAGACACUGGCCAGACACCUACGGGUGGCUGCAGUCGAGAAUCUUCGGCAAUGGACGAAAGUCUGACCGAGCGACGCCGCGUGCGGGAUGAAGGCCUUCGGGUUGUAAACCGCUGUCGAGGGGGAUUAAGGGCAACUUGAAUGAACCCUGGAGGAAGGAGAGGCUAAGCUCGUGCCAGCAGCCGCGGUAAGACGAGCUCUCCAAACGUUAUUCGAUAUCACUGGGCUUAAAGAGUUCGUAGGCGGCUUUGUAGGUGGGGUGUGAAAGCCCUCGGCUCAACCGAGGAAUUGCGCCCCAAACCGCAGGGCUUGAGGGAUAUAGGGGUAAGCGGAACAGAUGGUGGAGCGGUGAAAUGCAUUGAUAUCAUCUGGAACACCGGUGGCGAAAGCGGCUUACUGGAUAUUUUCUGACGCUGAGGAACGAAAGCUAGGGUAGCGAACGGGAUUAGAUACCCCGGUAGUCCUAGCCGUAAACGAUGAGCACUAGUCUGAAGGACUCUCACAGUCUUUCGGACGUAGCGAAA